GAACACAGGUUGUCUCCGUAUCUUGGCAAUUGUAAAUAAUGCAGCUAUGAACAUUGGGGUGCAUGUAUCUUUUCUAAUUUGUGUUUUUGUUUUUUCCAGAUACAUAUCCAGGAAUGGAAUUGCUGGGUCAUAUGGUAGUUCUAUUUUUAGUUUUUUGAGAAAUCUCCAUACUAUUUUCCACAGUGGCUGCACCAGCUUACAUUCCCACCAACAGUGUAUGAAGGUUCCCUUUUCUCUCAGGAUCCUGUUUUUCUCGUGUGUUGCUCCACAUAUGUGAAUUUAUGCCCUUUCAGUCUCGCAUAAGUAGCUUUACAUUGUUUUCAUCCUCUGUGAUCAAAAUGACAAGGAUUCUUCAUCUUUAGGGAUCACAGAUUAAUACAGUGAAUUAGUCUGUGAGCCCUGGUGUCACGGCCUGCAUUGGAAUGUCAGUCCUACCACUUAUUAUCUGCGAUCCUGAGCCUCAGUUUCCCAGUCUGGGAAAUGGUACCAACCUCACAGGAUUAAUUGAACAAGGUUUAAUGGCUCUUCCAGCGACAUCUGCAUUUAUGAGGGGGGAAAGAAAAAGGAUCCCUAACAGAUGGAGAAAGAGGCCCUCUGGGUAGAGAAAGAUUCUGUAGUUGGGGUUUCACCUACUCACUAAAAUUUGUGACCCCCAAUCAGUGCUGGUGAUGCUUUUGUGGUCAUUUGGGACGUGAUCAGAGUGGAGAAAAAUUUGAGUCCCCAGACGUGCACGUUCCCAGCAGAGGUGGAACAAGAAAAACACCAGUGGUCAAAUGACACGUGUGAGCGGUGGCGAGUUUUGGCAAAAGGGAGGCGGCAGAAAUUCAAG